rnacentral:rRNA from 1 species
UACGGAGGAUCCGAGCGUUAUCCGGAUUUAUUGGGUUUAAAGGGAGCGUAGGUGGAUUGUUAAGUCAGUUGUGAAAGUUUGCGGCUCAACCGUAAAAUUGCAGUUGAAACUGGCAGUCUUGAGUACAGUAGAGGUGGGCGGAAUUCGUGGUGUAGCGGUGAAAUGCUUAGAUGUCACGAAGAACUCCGAUUGCGAAGGCAGCUCACUGGACUGCAACUGACACUGAGGCUCGAAAGUGUGGGUAUCAAACAGG